GAUGAAGAACGUAGCGGAAUGCGAUACUUGGUGUGAAUUGCAGAAUCCCGUGAACCAUCGAGUUUUUGAACGCAAGUUGCGCCCGAAGCCUUUUGGCCGAGGGCACGUCUGCCUGGGCGUCACGCAUCGCGUCGCCCCCCACAAAUUCUCCGUCAGGGGAGCUUGUGUUUCGGGGGCGGAUACUGGUCUCCCGUGCUCAUGGCGCGGUUGGCCGAAAUAGGAGUCCCUUCGAUGGACGCACGAACUAGUGGUGGUCGUAAAAACCCUCGUCUUUUGUUUCGUGCCGUUAGUCGCGAGGGAAGCUCUUCAACACCCCAACGCGUCGUCUCUUGACGGCGCUUCGACCGCGACCCCAGGUCAGGCGGGACUACCCGCUGAGUUUAAGCAUAUCAUAAGCGGAGGA
rnacentral:misc_RNA from 1 species